rnacentral:rRNA from 1 species
UGGGGAAUUUUGGACAAUGGGCGAAAGCCUGAUCCAGCAAUGCCGCGUGUGUGAAGAAGGCCUUCGGGUUGUAAAGCACUUUUGUCCGGAAAGAAAUCCUUGGCUCUAAUACAGUCGGGGGAUGACGGUACCGGAAGAAUAAGCACCGGCUAACUACGUGCCAGCAGCCGCGGUAAUACGUAGGGUGCAAGCGUUAAUCGGAAUUACUGGGCGUAAAGCGUGCGCAGGCGGUUUGCUAAGACCGAUGUGAAAUCCCCGGGCUCAACCUGGGAACUGCAUUGGUGACUGGCAGGCUAGAGUAUGGCAGAGGGGGGUAGAAUUCCACGUGUAGCAGUGAAAUGCGUAGAGAUGUGGAGGAAUACCGAUGGCGAAGGCAGCCCCCUGGGCCAAUACUGACGCUCAUGCACGAAAGCGUGGGGAGCAAACAGGAUUAGAUACCCUGGUAGUCCACGCCCUAAACGAUGUCAACUAGUUGUUGGGGAUUCAUUCCCUUAGUAACGUAGCUAACGCGUGAAGUUGACCGCCUGGGGAGUACGGUCGCAAGAUUAAAACUCAAAUGAAUUGACGGGGUCAUAGCUGUUUCCU